UACGAAGGGGGCUAGCGUUGCUCGGAAUCACUGGGCGUAAAGGGUGCGUAGGCGGGUUUUUAAGUCAGGGGUGAAAUCCUGGAGCUCAACUCCAGAACUGCCUUUGAUACUGAAGAUCUUGAGUCCGGGAGAGGUGAGUGGAACUGCGAGUGUAGAGGUGAAAUUCGUAGAUAUUCGCAAGAACACCAGUGGCGAAGGCGGCGCACUGGCACGGUACUGACGCUGAGGCGCGAAAGCGUGGGGAGCAAACAGG
rnacentral:rRNA from 1 species